GAUCCUCCCUCCUUUGCCUCCCAAGGUGCUGGGAUUACAGGCGUGAGCCACCGUGCCUGGCCUAUGUUUAGGUGAUGUUUUUUGCUUCAGAAUCUUUGAAAAAUCUUUCUUUACAACAAACCUUCAUGACACGUGCUUACCUAUGUAACAAACCUACAAAUAUACCUCUGAACUUAAAAUUUAAGAAACAAAAAAUACUAUAUAAAAACAAACAACAACAACACUUUCUGAUUUGUCUACCAAGUCUGGUCCAGGUAUAGUACAAAGAAGUGAAAUGUUCUCAGCCAAAACAUAAAAGAUUGUUUAAUAGUUAUAAAAUGAACAUUUAACACAAAAUUUCUGGGAGCAAAUAUGAGAAAAUUCUGCUAAUAUAUAAAAGAUAACUAUAGAAAAGGGCCGGGUGUGGUGGCUCAUGCCUGUUAAUCCCAGUGCUUUGGGAAGCUGAAGUGGGAGAGUCACUAGAGGCUAGGAGUUCCAGAUCAGCCUGGGCAACAUAGCGAGGCCUGGUCUCUACAAUAAAUAACACUUUUUUAAAAAAAGUAGCUGGGUGUGGUGGCGUGUGUCUGUAGUCUUAGCUACUGGAGAGGCUGAGAUGGGAGGAUUGUUUAAGCCCAGAGGUUUGAGGUUGCAGUGAGCCAUGAUUGCACCACUACACUCCAAGCCUGAAUGGCAGAGAAAGACCCUAUCUCAAAAAAAGAGGAUAAAGAAAUUUUACCAAAUUUGUAGCUUAUUCAAAGAAAGUGUCACAUGUGAACACAAUAAAGCACCAGAGUAAGAAUAGCUUUCUCCCUAUCAAUUGCUCACUCAGUGAAGUUACAAAGAAAAUUUCAUAAGUAAGAGCUUAUGCUUUAUGGGGGUGAUGGAUAAGAUAAAACUGCAUGUCACACCUGUUUAUCAAAAUAUAUGACCAGGCCAGGCUGGAGUUUCUGGGGCUGCUGAAUCUUCAGGGAAGGGAACUAUGAGGUAGAUUGGAGUUCCCAUAUGAGUGUACCAUGGGACUAAACAAAGACGAUUAACAAUGGGGAUAUCUUCAAAGAUGACAUUAAAACAGUUAUUGCCACAAAUAUUGCUGUUUUUAUAGUUAGAAAUUUAGAAAAAUAGCCUCUGUAUACAAGCACAACUCAUACAAAUGACUUCAUCAAUAGGAUGCUGUGGAUGAGGAGUUAGAAAUCUUGGCUUCUUGAGCCAGAUUGGCUACUUCUUGGUCUUGUAAUUUAGAUAGGAUCCCAAAUCGCUUGAAUUUUGCUUCUCUCCUUAAUAAAAUGAAGGGAAUUAUUCAUGUCCAUGUUCCUCUCUAUAACGUUGUGAGAAUUGGGAUUGAAAGUGUUGAUGUUUAUAAGAGUACUUUGAAGGAGUAACAUACUAUUGAAAACUUAGGUUUUAUUAUUAAUGAACAGCCAAAUUCCUGUAUGCUCAGCACCAUACUAAACAAUGCCAGAGCAUGUUAGAAAACAGUUUACACUUUCGAAGCUUCUAGGAGGAAAUAACACUUUAAGUCAGAGUCCAGAGAACAGGAAGACACCUUAGAAGUUAAAUUACGUAUCCAAACUCUCCAUUUUACAAAUGAGAAUUCUGAGACCUAGAAGAUCCGUUUGAUUUAUCCAUGAUUCUACAACUAGCCUGGCAUAACCAGGCAUCAUGACUCUAAAGGAGAGUGUGCAGGUCUUGCUGAAGGACAUUUAAAAAAUGGAGGAUCCAGUAGGAACAUACCUAUGUGAUAUAGACCUAAUGGCUCUGGAACAUCAAAUGACAGGUAGGUCAUUGAGGAUGAAAAUUGACAAAGGUAGUUUUGGUUUAGUGUCUAAUAUUUUGACAUAGACAUUACUAAUAACAGAGGGGUAUCACACUUUCUUUUUUUUUAAAAUCCUAUAUUUACCUUUAGUGCACUGAAAAGGAUCAUUUUGCUUUUUGUCAAAAAGGUAACAACAUUCAUUAAGUCCAAUUUGACAUAACUCUAUCCUGUGAUACUUAGAAUAGGCGACCUUUUUAGAUCAGCUGUCGAAGGUUAUUGACCAUGGAUGGGGAAAGGAAAUGAAGCAGCUUUCUAAUGAUAGCUUCUGUUUCUUCCCAAGUGCUCUGGCAUCUGAAAGUACAAAAGGCCAUUCUCCAAAUUAUUUGGAAACUCUAGUGAAAAGCUAAUUUCUAGAUUCUAAGGGCUAAUUUUUACAGUGGAGAAGAUGAAAUGACAUGUUAUUUACCAAAAGUUUUAGGUAAUUAAUAAUUUCAUGACUUUGAAAAUGACAAUUAUUUACAUUCUGAAGAUUCCACACACACUCUACCAUUUAGAUGGUAAAUUGAACAUAACUCUGUAUUAUAAUGUGGUUAACUAAGUAUGUUUCAUAUAAUGUUUACAUGAAAUUAACUGUGAAACUCUUAACAUGUAGGAUAUUUUCUUUCUUUCCACUUAAUGUUCUGCUUUAUUUUGUAUGUAUUUCUUUCCUUUGAAAGUCACAAUCUUUCCAUCUUUUUCUGUUCAAAUCCUUUCCCUACCUUUGAGGUUGUGCACUUCACACUGUACAUAUAAGGCAAAGUGUAUACAUUAAACUCCAGAUAAGGAAAAUACAACCUAACAUGUAUUUACCAUUUACUAUGUACCAAGUAUUUACCACUUACAAUGUACUCUUCUAAAUACUAUUUUAUAUGUGUAUUUUAUUUUAAUUCUCAUAGCCACUUUGUAUCAUAGGGACUUUUAUUUUUAUUCUUUAUUUAAAAAAAAAAAAAAAAGGGAUACAUGUGCAGAACCUGCAGGUUUGUUACUUAGGUCUAUGUGUGCCAUGGUGGUUUGCUGCACCUAUUGAUCCAUCCUCUAAGUUUCCUCCCCUCACACCCUACCCCCAACAGGCCCUGUUGUGUGUUGUUCCCCUCUCUGUGUCCAUGUGUUCUCAUUGUUCAACUCUCAUAGGGACUUAUAUAUAUAUAUAUACUUUAAGUUCUGGGGUACAUGUGCAAAACGUGCAGUUUUGUUACAUAGGUAUACACGUGCCAUGGUGGUUUGCUGCACCCAUCAACCCAUCAUCUACAUUAGGUAUUUCUCCUAAUGCUAUCCCUCCCCUAGCCCCCUACCCGCUGACAGGCCCUGGUGUGUGACGUUCCUCUCCUUAUGUCCAUGUGUUCUCAUUGUUCAACUCCCACUUAUGAGUGAGAACAUGUGGUGUUUGGUUUUCUGUUCCUGUGUUAGUUUGCUGAGAAUGAUGGUGUUCAGCUUCAUCCAUGUCCCUGCAAAGGACAUGAACUCAUCCUUCUUUAUGGCUGCAUAGUAUUCCAUGUUGCAUAUGUGCCACAUUUUCUUUAUCCAGUCUAAAAUUGAUGGGCAUUUGGGUUGCUUCCAAAUCUUUGCUAUUGUGAAUAGGGCCACAAUAGACAUAUGUGUGCAUGUGUCUUUAUAGUAGAAUGAUUUAUAAUCUCUUGGGUAUAUACCCAGUAAAGGGAUUGCUGGGUCAAAUGGUAUUUCUGGUUCUAGGUCCUUGAGGAAUCGCCAUACUGUCUUCCACAAUGGUUGAACUAAUCUACUCUGCCACCAACAGUGUAAAAGUGUUCCUAUUUCUUCACAUCCUCUUCACCAUGUGUUUUUUCCUGACUUUUAAAUGAUCACCAUUCUAACUGGCGUGAGAUAGUAUCUCAUUGUGGUUUUGAUUUGCAUUUCUCUAAUGACCAGUGAUGAUGAGCUUUUUUUCAUAUGUUUGUUGGCCAGAUAAAUGUCUACUUUUGAUAAGUGUCUGUUCAUAUCCUUUGCCCACUUUUUGAUGGGGUUGUUUAUUUUUUUCUUGUAAAUUUGUUUAAGUUCCUUGUAGAUUCUGGAUAUUAGCCCAUUGUCAGGUGGAUAAAUUGCAAAAAUUUUCUCCCAUUCUAUAGGUUGCCUGUUCAUGCUGAUGAUAGUUUCUUUUGCUAUGCAGCAGCUCUUUAAUUUAAUUAUAUCCCACUUGUCAAUUUUGGCUUUUGUCGCCAUUGCUUUUGAUGUUUUACUCAUGAAGAUUUGCCCAUGCCUAUGUCCUCAAUGGUAUUGCCUAGGUUUUCUUCUAGGGUUUUUAUGAUUUAAGGUCUUACGUUUAAGUCUUUAAUCCAUCUUGAGUUAACUUUUGUAUAAGGUGUAAGGAAGGGAUCCAGUUUCUGUUUUCUGCAUAUGGCCAGCCAGUUUUCCCAACACCAUUUAUUAAAUAGGGAAUCCUUUCCCCAUUGCUUGUUUUUGUCAGGGUUGUCAAAGAUCAGAAGUUAGUAGAUGUGUUGGCGUUAUUUCUGAGGCCUCUGUUCUGUUCCAUUGGUCUAUAAAUCUGUUUUGGUAUCAGUACCAUGCUGUUUUGGUUACUGUAACCUUGUAGUAUAGUUUGAAGUCAGGUAGCGUGAUGCCUCCAGCUUUGUUCUUUUUGCUUAGGAUUGUCUUGGCUGUAUGGGCUCCUUUUUGGUUCAAUAUGAAAUUUAAAGUCAUUUUUUCUAAUUCUGUGAAGAAAGUCAGUGGUAGCUUGAUGGGGAUAGCAUUGAACUUAUAAAUUACCUAGGGCAGUAUGGCCAUUUUCAUGAUAUUGAUUCUUCCUAUCCAUGAGCAUGGAAUGUUUUUCCAUUUGUUUGUGUCCUCUCUUAUUUUCUUGAGCAGUUCUCCUUGAAGAGGUCCUUCACAUCCCUUAUAAGCUGUAUUCUUAGUUACUUUAUUCUCCUUGUAGAAAUUGUAAAUGGGGGUUCACUCAUGAUUUGGCUCUCUGUUUGUCUAUUAUUUGUGUAUAGGAAUGCUUGUGAAUUUUGCACAUUGAUUUUGUAUCCUGAGACUUUGCUGAAGUUGCUCAUCAGCUUAAGGGGAUUUUGGGCUGAGACAAUGGGGUUUUCUGAAUAUACAGUCAUGUCAUCUGCAAACAGAGACAAUUUGACUUCCUCUCUUCCUAUUUGAAUACGCUUUAUUUCUUUCUCUUGCCUGAUUGCUCUGGCCAGAACUUCCAAAACUAUGUUGAAUAGGGGUGGUGAAAGAGGACAUCCUUUUUUUGUGCUGGUUUUGAAAGGGAACGCUUCCAGCUUUUGCCCAUUCAAUAUAAUAUUGGCUGUAGGUUUGUCAUAAAUAGCUCUUAUUAUUUUGAGAUACAUUCCAUCAAUACCUAGUUCAUUGAGAGUUUUCAGCAUGAAGCCAUGUUGAAUUUUAUUGAAGGCCUUUUCUGCAUCUAUUGAGAUAAUCAUAUGGUUUUUGUCAUUGGUUCUGUUUAUGUGAUGGAUUACGUUUAUUGAUUUGCAUAUGUUGAACCAGCCUUGCAUCCCAGGGUUGAAGCCAACUUGAUCGUGUUGCAUAAGCUUUUUGAUGUGCUGCUGGAUUCAGUUUGCCAGUAUUUUAUUGAGGAUUUUUGCAUCGAUGUUCAUCAGGGAUAUUGGCCUGAAAUUUUCUUUCUUUCUUUUUUUUUUGGUGUGUGUGUGUGUGCAUGUGUGUGUGUGUGUGUGUGUGUCUCUUCCAGGGUUUGGUAUCAGGAUUAUGCUGGCCUCAUAAAAUGAGUUAGGGAGAAGUCCUUCUUUUUCCAUUGUUUGGAAUAGUUUCAGAAGGAAUGGUACCAGCUCCUCUUCAUACCUCUGGUAGAAUUCGGCUGUGAAUCUGUCUGGUCCUGGGUUUUUUUUGGUUGGUAGGCUAUUAAUUACUGCCUCAAUUUCAUAACUUGUUAUUGGUCUAUUCAGUUAUUCAACUUAUUUCUGAUUUAGUCUUGGGAUAGUGUAUGUGUCCAGGAAUUUAUUCAUUUCUUCUAGAUUUUCUGGUUUAUUUGCAUAGAGGUGUUUAUAGUAUUCUCUGGCAGUAGUUUUUAUUUCUGUGGGAUUAGUGAUGAUAUCCCCUUUAUAAUUUUUUAUUGUGGCUGUUUGAUUCUUCUCUCGUUUCUUCUUUAUUGGUCUGGCUAGUGGUCUGUCUAUUUUGUUAAUCUUUUCAAAAGACCAGCUCCUGGAUUCAUUGAUUUUUUGAAGGGUUUUUCGUGUCUCUAUCUCCUUUAGUUCUGCUCUGAUCUUUAUUAUUUCUUGUCUUCUGCUAGCUUUUGAAUUUGUUUUCUCUAGCUUCUUUACUUCUUUUAAUUGUGAUGUUAGGAUGUUGAUUUUAGAUCUUUCUGCUUUCUCUUGUGGGCACCUAGUGCUAUAAAUUUCCCUCUAAACACUGCUUUACCUGUGUCCCAGAGAUCCUGGUACAUUGUGUCUUUGUUCUCAUUGGUUUCAAAGAGCUUAUUUAUUUCUGCCUUAAUUUCGUUAUUUACCCAAUAGUCAUUCAGGAGUAGGUUGUUCAGUUUCCAUGUAAUUGUGCGGUUUUGGGUGAAUUUUUUAAUCCUGAGUUCUAAUUUGAUUGCACUGUGGUCUGAGAGGCUGUUUGUUUUGAUUUCAGUCCUUUUGCAUUUGCUGAGGAGUGUUUUACUUCCAAUUAUGUGGUGAGUUUUAUAAGAAGUGUGAUGUGGUGCUGAGAAGAAUGUAUAUUCUGUUGAUUUGGGAUGGAGAGUUCUGUAGAUGUCUAUUAAGUCUGCUUGGUCCAGAGCUGAGUUCAAGUCCCGAAUGUCCUUGUUAAUUUUCUGUCUCGUUGAUCUGUCUAAUAUUGACAGUGGAGUGUUAAAGUCUCCCACUAUUAUUGUGUGGGAGUUUACAUCUCUUUGUAUGUCUCUAAGAACUUGCUUUAUGAAUUUGGAUGCUCCUGUAUUGGGUGCAUAUAUAUUUAGGAUAGUUAGCUCUUCUUGUUGCAUUGGUUCGUUUACCAUUAUGUAAUGCCCUUCUUUGCCUAUGCUGAUAUUUGUUGGCUUAAAGUCUGUUUAUCAGACACUAGGAUUGCAAUCCCUGCUUUUUUUUGUCUUGCUUUCCAUUUCCUUGGUAAAUAUUUCUCCAUCACUUUAUUUUGAGCCUAUGUGUGUCUUUCCACGUGAAAUGGUCCCUGACCACCUUGCCUCCUGACUGGGAGGCACCUCCCAGCAGGGGUCAACUAACACCUCAUACAGGAGAGCUCUGGCUGGCAUCUGGUGGGUGCCCCUCUGGGACGAAGCUUCCAGAGGAAGGAGCAGGCUGCAAUCUUUGCUGUUCUGCAGCCUCUGCUGGUGAUACUCAGGCAAACAGGGUCUGGAGUGGCUCCCCAGCAAACUCCAGCAGACCUGCAGCGGGAAAAUGAACAAAUGAAAAGGAAUAGCAUCAACAUCAACAAAAAGGACAUCCACACAAAAACCCCAGAAACCCCAUGCGAAGGUCACAAACAUCAAAGACCAAAGGUAGUUAAAUCCAUGAAGAUGAGGAAAAACCAGUGCAAAAAGGCUGAGAAUUCCCAAAACCCAGAACUUCUCUUCUCCUCCAAAGGAUUACAACUCCUUGCCAGCAAGGGAACAAAACUGGACAGAGAAUGAGUUUGAUGAAUUGACAGAAGUAGGCUUCAGAAAGAGGGUAAUAACAAACUCCUCCGAGCUAAAGGAGCAUGUUCUAACCCAAUGCAAGAAAGCUAAGAACCUUGAAAAAAGGUUAGAGGAAUUGCUAAGUAGAAUAACUAGUUUAGAGAAGAACAUAAAAGACCUGAUGGAGCUGAAAAAUGCAGCACGAGAACUUUGUGAACCAUACACAAGUAUCAGUAGCUGAAUCGAUGAAGCGGAAGAAAGGAUAUCAUAGAUUGAAGAUGAACUUAAUGAAAUAAAGUGUGAAGACAAGAUUAGAGAAAAAAA